rnacentral:rRNA from 1 species
CAUGAGUACGAGUUUGAUCCGUGGCUCGAGGACGACGCUGGCGGCGUGCCUAACACAUGCAAGUCGAACGGACGAGGGGAGCUUGCUCCCCGAGUUAGUGGCGAACGGGUGAGUAACGCGUGAGAAACCUGCCUUUCAGUGGGGGACAACAGUUGGAAACGACUGCUAAUACCGCAUAAUGUGCCGGGAGGGCAUCCUCCUGGUACCAAAGCUUUAUGUGCUGAAAGAUGGCCUCGCGUCUGAUUAGCUAGUUGGUGAGGUAACGGCUCACCCAAGGCGACGAUCAGUAGCCGGUCUGAGAGGAUGAACGGCCACAUUGGGACUGAGAUACGGCCCCAGACUCCUACGGGAGGCAGCAGUGAGGAAUAUUGGGCAAUGGGCGCAAGCCUGACCCAGCAAUGCCGCGUGAAGGAAGACGGUUUUCGGAUUGUAAACUUCUUUUAAGAGGGACGAUAAUGACGGUACCUCUUGAAUAAGCCACGGCUAACUACGUG